rnacentral:piRNA from 1 species
UGUCAGCACAGAAUUGUGGCACCAGUUGU